CACCCCUUACGUGGGGCUGCGGCGGCCCCUGGGCUACCAGCUGGCCAAGGCUACCAAGGAGCGGAUCUGGCGGGGGGAGUUCAUUGACCUCUUCUCCUUGCUCCACACAGAGCUGGCCCCCGAGCACGGCCCGCGCCCGGGGGACACGCUGGACCAGUGGGUCUCUGCCUUUCUGGUGUACGCCAGCGUGCUGUGCGAGAAGCACCCAGCCCGCUGCGGGGCCAUGUUCAAGUAUCUGGACACCAUCCGCAAGCUGCAUGCCACGUAUGGGGGCACCUCGUGGAUGAGCUACGACGAGGACUUCCGGCGGCGGGCGGCCAAGGACCCGACCCUGCCUUGGGGCGACGUGGACCUGGACCUGUGGAUGAAGUGGAUGGCUCCCCUCAAGUCGCUUGUCAGCAGGCAUCAGCAUGCUGAGAGCGAGCCGCAGGCCCCCCCGCCGCCGCCACCUCCACAGCUGCCCCCGAGCCCCAAGCAGGAGGAGAAAAGCCAGACCCCAUGAAAACAGAAGGCCAGUUGGAAGGGCAGUCAGACUAAGUGGAAUUCUGUUCUUCAGUAGUCCAAGCUGUGUCUCUUCACCGUCGUUGCUACAGAUUAAUCAUCACAGGCAUCUCCUGAGGAAAUUCUGUAAUAGUGACAGGAUGGGGGGGAGGCGAGGGGAAGGAAGGGAUGAGUAGGCAUUGGUCUCUUCAGUCCCAGUGAUGAGUUGCACAGUGCAGGGCUUAACCUACUGUCUCCCAGCUGCAAAGUGGCAACAGUUUCGGGUUUCCUGUCCUAUUGGGGAGUAGUAUACCCAGCUGGAGUCUGAAACGCUUCCUAAUGUUCUUUGCUGAGUCCUGCCAAGAAUUUGUUGGAUUUGUUUGUUACUCUCUAGUCUUCAUACAGUCUGGUGCCUUUCCUGGCACUCUGUCACCUCUCAGUUUCCCUGUGGCUGCUGAUGUUAGACUGGACCACCCUGUCUUCUUUGUCUGCUGUAGACAAUUGCCAGGGUUCUGCUUUGCUCUCCAGUGUCAUUGGCUGCUUUAAAACGGCUGCCUGCUUUCAUAAAGAAACUCGCUUUUCAAACUAUUAGUGGUGUUUUUGAGAAAUGUGGGGCUUCCUCUCUUGCUCUUUUUUUCUUUUUCUUUUUUUUUUUUUUUCCCCUCCUUCACAAACUUGGCCUUUGUCACUGUCUUUGAGCCACCCAGUCACUGUGGUACUUGUGCUUCCCUGCUUUGGUAGCACGUGUACUUUCCCACUCACUGUUGUGCUAUAAGCUUCUGCAUGAAAUUUCUUUGGCUCUUAAUUUAUAGUUAAAAGUGUUCAACUUCAAUGGGUUUCUUCUCUUUCAAACAGUUAGUUACUGGGUGGAUUUGCAUAUGUCAAUGUCAUUGGAUGAAUCUUGCCCUUGCAGCUACUGAAGUUGCCAUGUCCUUGUUGCAUAGACCUGCUGGUUGUGUUGAAAGAGUGGUGCGGAAUUGCAUAUCCUCUGUGCAUCGUUGAUUUAUGAGUAGAUUCAUUUUGGUGGUUAUAAGCUAAGCUUGCUGUCACAUACAUACUAUGACAGACAGAAGGAAGGUGCGAGCUAUCUGAAAGCAGACAUUGAGGAUAACCAUUUAACUGUGAUGAGUGAAGAUAUACCACACUAGGUGAGAGGCUUACAGUGGAAAUGAACCAUGAUUCUUUUAUUCGUACAAUAACUGUGAUCUGUAGUGGAAAUCAUUGAUCUACUUUUUUUUUUUUAAUCCUGAUUAUUUCUGUAAGUUGUAGGAUGUUCUAUCUUCAGUGUUAUUGCAAUUUCAUAUUGUUUUCUGAAAAAUAAAAAAUGUUGAGCAUCUAUACUAAGUUGCA
rnacentral:lncRNA from 1 species